UGUCUAGGACGGUGCUACAGUGCAUGGGCUCGUCAGCCACACAAAGAGCACUAAUUUUAAAAAACGCAGAUUCCUGUGCAUUCCAGCAGACGAGGGAAAUGGUCAGAGGGCAGAUCAAACUUGACUGGCUAUCUGAAGUUCAAGAAUUUCUUCACUUCUGGAGAGCCCAGAACUACCCUUCCUCCAGCUUGGCCCAGCUCUGCACAUUGCCUGCUGCUGAUGUAUGCUCCUGCCUCAGUUGUGUAUCCGUCUGAUACUGGACUGGCUCACUCCUCCAUCCUGCCCUUUGGAGAGAGACAUUUGGUACUUCUGAUGCACUGUACUCGGAGACCCUGGAUAGCUAACUAGGGACAGGGUCGCUCAGCCCCUCCCCAGAAGAUGGCAUCAGAUUGCCUUCUAGCUGUGGAACAGUUACAUUUUAUCAGCAGCAGGAAGUGGUGUGGUCACUAAUUACCACUGUCAGAGAAUGAACUGCAGGGUUUGAGCCCAAAUCAGAUCUGCUAAGGUGAGACACAGCGGACUGCCACCCAGCGCCCAGUCUGAGAGUGGGAGAAAUACACGUUUCCACGCCAAGAAAGAGGUGAUGGCCUGAGACCUAGAGGGGGUGUGCUCGGAGAAACCCGAGAGUAGAUGAAGUGCAGUUGGCCCAGUAACUGUGACAGAGAGCACCAUGGAUUUAAAGUGAGACACUGACCUGGAUUCAGUCUGGCUGUUUA